rnacentral:rRNA from 1 species
GAGCGGUAACACUUCGGGUGACGAGCGGCGGACGGCAGAGUAACGCGUAGGAACGUACCCCAAACUGAGGGAUAACCUCGAGAAAUCGAGGCUAAUACCGCAUGUGAUCUUCGGAUUAAAGCUUCGGCGGUUUGGGAACGGCCUGCGUAUGAUUAGUUAGUUGGUGAGGUAAAAGCUCACCAAGACGACGAUCAUUAGCUGGUCUGAGAGGAUGAUCAGCCUGACUGGGACUGAGACACGGCCCAGACUCCUACGGGAGGCAGCAGUAGGGAAUUUUCCACAAUGGGGGCAACCCUGAUGGAGCAACGCCGCGUGCAGGAUGAAGGCCUUCGGGUUGUACACUGCUUUUGUUUGUGACGAUUAUGACGGUAACAAGCGAAUAACGGUCUGCUAAGUACGAUGC